UGGGGAAUAUUGGACAAUGGGCGCAAGCCUGAUCCAGCAAUGCCGCGUGAGUGAUGAAGGCCUUAGGGUUGUAAAGCUCUUUUACCCGUGAUGAUAAUGACAGUAGCGGGAGAAUAAGCCCCGGCUAACUCCGUGCCAGCAGCCGCGGUAAUACGGAGGGGGCUAGCGUUGUUCGGAAUUACUGGGCGUAAAGCGUACGUAGGCGGUGACUCAAGUCAGAGGUGAAAGCCUGGAGCUCAACUCCAGAACUGCCUUUGAAACUAGGUCGCUAGAAUCACGGAGAGGUGAGUGGAAUUCCGAGUGUAGAGGUGAAAUUCGUAGAUAUUCGGAAGAACACCAGUGGCGAAGGCGGCUCACUGGACGUGUAUUGACGCUGAGGUACGAAAGCGUGGGGAGCAAACAGGAUUAGAUACCCGAGUAGUCCCUGAGCGGGCUGGCAAGGCGCAU
rnacentral:rRNA from 1 species